GCGGAAUGCUUUACACAUGCAAGUCGAACGGCAGCAUAGAGAGCUUGCUCUCUGAUGGCGAGUGGCGAACGGGUGAGUAAUAUAUCGGAACGUGCCUAGUAAUGGGGAAUAACUAGCUGAAAGGUUAGCUAAUGCCGCAUACGACCUACGGGUGAAAGCAGGGGAUCUUCGGACCUUGCGUUAUUAGAGCGGCCGAUAUCUGAUUAGCUUGUUGGUGGGGUAAUGGCCUACCAAGGCGACGAUCAGUAGCUGGUCUGAGAGGACGAUCAGCCACACUGGAACUGAGACACGGUCCAGACUCCUACGGGAGGCAGCAGUGGGGAAUUUUGGACAAUGGGGGCAACCCUGAUCCAGCCAUUCCGCGUGAGUGAAGAAGGCCUUCGGGUUGUAAAGCUCUUUCGCAAGAGAAGAAAACUUGCUAUCUAAUAAAUAGUAAGUAUGACGGUAUCUUGACAAGAAGCACCGGCUAACUACGUGCCAGCAGCCGCGGUAAUACGUAGGGUGCAAGCGUUAAUCGGAAUUACUGGGCGUAAAGCGUGCGCAGGCAGUUUUAUAAGUCAGAUGUGAAAUCCCCGAGCUCAACUUGGGAACUGCGUUUGAAACUGUAAGACUAGAGUGUGUCAGAGGGGGGUAGAAUUCCAAGUGUAGCAGUGAAAUGCGUAGAGAUUUGGAGGAAUACCAAUGGCGAAGGCAGCCCCUGGGAUAACACUGA
rnacentral:rRNA from 1 species